rnacentral:rRNA from 1 species
UACGGAGGGUGCAAGCGUUAUCCGGAUUCACUGGGUUUAAAGGGUGCGUAGGAGGGCAGGUAAGUCAGUGGUGAAAUCUCCGAGCUUAACUUGGAAACUGCCAUUGAUACUAUCUGUCUUGAAUAUUGUGGAGGUGAGCGGAAUAUGUAAUGUAGCGGUGAAAUGCUUAGAUAUGACAUAGAACACCAAUUGCGAAGGCAGCUCGCUACACAAAUAUUGACUCUGAGGCACGAAAGCGUGGGGAUCAAACAGG